AAAAAACACAAACCCUGAUUUCAGUGUCUAAUGUUUGACUGUCCGUCUUAUUUAAAAAAAAUAUAGAAAAAAAUUAAAAAGAUAAGUCACGUAUAAAGUAUUCAUCAUGUUUUAUCAUCUAACAACAAUAAAAAUACUAAUUAUAAAAAAAUUUUAUAUAAGACGGACAGUCAAACGUUGGCACGCGGUUUAUU
rfam:Oryza glaberrima chromosome 8 Oglab08_unplaced138_42, whole genome shotgun sequence.